rnacentral:rRNA from 1 species
AGUCAACGUUGGCGGCGUGCAUAACACAUGCAAGUCGAACGCUUCUUAAGUGGCUUGCCAUUUAAGAAGAGUGGCGAACGGGUGAGUAACACGUGAGUAAUCUGCCCUCGAGUGGGGAAUAAGCCUCCGAAAGGAGGUCUAAUACCGCAUAAAACUCUGUGGCAUAAGCUUUCAGAGUCAAAGCCUUCGGGUGCUUGAGGAUGAGCUUGCGCCCUAUUAGCUAGUUGGUAGGGUAACGGCCUACCAAGGUAAUGAUGGGUAGCCGGCCUGAGAGGGUGUACGGCCACACUGGAACUGCGACACGGUCCAGACUCCUACGGGAGGCAG